ensembl:lncRNA
UUUGGAUCCAGAUGUGACUUUUUACAGGUGAGACAUUAAGGAUUUAUUUGUAGGAACUAAACUACAGAUAUAUUUUGUUUUACUGACAGGUCACUGCCUAUUCAAGUGGUAACAGAGAGAACGCUCAGUAGCAGUUGUACCGCGUUGAGCCAUAAUUUAGACAGACCUGGUAAUUCAGCUUCUUGUGAUUGCUGUAUGCUUCCCAAAGUCUGUUUUGGCAUCUCUGUAUUUGAGAGGACAUACAAUCAAUGCUACAGUGGUACUAUAUUAUCAUCAUCAUGAUUCUCUAAUCAAAUAUUCUCUACUGUAAACAAGAGAUCCAGGAAUGACCAGCCUGAUCUAACCAACCACAUCCGUAUUUUAUUUAUUUAUUUAUUGGGGGAUUUUUCUUAUUAUUACUCUGAUUUCAUUCUGUAUACUUGCCCACAAGUCCACAUAUCCACUUAAUGCCAACUGUGGGAAAUUGGUGGCAGAUGUGUGUGAAACUUAACCCAAGAUAUACAUGAACCACUACCCUGCUGAGUUCCCCAAUGUGCUUGGAGGAGGACUUUAAUCAAUGCGAUUGCAUUAAAAAAAAAAAAUCCAUCCAGUCCUGUCCCUACCUUUGAUAUACAGUGAAACGUACAGCUCAUUACGCGUCGUCAUUCAGUCUACCGGAUGCCUUGUGAUGUUGCACGAAUUUCCAUUGAAUAACCUAUAAAAGGGAUCAGCAUCUUUUUUUCUAUUGCUGCUAAACAAGAGGGAACAAACUUGCAAAUGCUAUUGGGUGCUUUAUGUGUUCAGCUGUCGUACCUGGGCUAGAUACAUAAACAAUCCAGCGCACAAAGCCCUGCUGCCAUUAAAGUAACGUAGCAGACAGAUCCCUGCAUGUCACCCAAACCUAAGUUGAACAUGUUUUUAUCCCUUGUUCCUCAUCACACACGCCUGCUCACAUUGCAUGUUCAUAUUUGAAUAUUAAAUAUUUAUCUUUUUAUGCUGUUAAUUUUUAUUUAUUUAUUCCACAUAUCUAAAUUAAACAAUGCAAUACCGUAAUUUAUACGAUAUAUUUUAUUUGCUCAUUCGUUUGGUUCAUUUUACCUGCAUUUUUCCCCCCUCUUUACCUGCAUUCAGGUUUAAUGGGAAAAUGUAAGCUAUGGGGGAUAUGUUAGGGAUAUGAAACUCUACCGAGGAUAUCGUGUUUAAAGUGUGUGUGCACCCACACAAAGACACACACAUAUACUUCUGGACCAUUGCGACAUGCGGGGCACUUUAGUUCAGACCUGUGUGCAGUUUCACAGGCUUCGUCUUCCCUAUCGACAGUCAUACAGUCAGCAAAACAUUUGCUUAGUCAGUGUAAAACAUGCCAGUCGCCGCAUUGUCAUCAAAAAAAAGUCUCUUUGCAGCUAUCAUGUGUUGUCCUGUUUUCCAAGUUCAGUGUUUAGUCGUCAUUUGAGCAAGAAAUUGAUGACUCUUGCUCAAUAUGUGGCAAGUGAAGAAGUUUCAUCUUUCAUCAUUCUUUAUUACGUUCAGCCAAACAACAAAGAGUUUACCUUUGUUGAAAAAGUUUUCAAGUAAAAACCCUUUAAAAGUGAAGAACUGGUCUCUUGAGGAGUGUGUUGAGGUUACAAACUAAUUAUUAUAGCAAGGUUUAAAUGACUCUUGAAAUCUUAGGCCAUGUAAUACAACUACCGUCUUAAAUACAAAUAAAUAAAUACUCCGAUGAUGUCAGGUUAAAUUGGAUUGUUGAAUGCAGGCUCUGUGAUGUGAUUAUACGUUGUCGUGUGUGAACAAUUCUUUAGACCUCCAGUGUGGAACUUACUGUACUAAAUGCAACAGAUCUAAGUUUCAUGCUUCUCUUCUGCUUUCAGACAGUAAUGAACACUCCUCUGCAUGUGUGUCCCCCCGAGAACUGAUCAGGUUCACAGGUUCAGACAAACAUCCCACCCUCAUAGAGCCUAACCUUUUUUAGAGCCUGGCCUGUAGAGGAGAACAGGUGCAGUCAAAGAGUAUUGCAUGGAAACCCAAUCCAUAGAGAGGGGCUUUUUGAGUGAGGAAAUGCAGGACAACACAGGUGGGAAGAUUCCCUUUCCAUCUGGCCUUGAGCUCACAGAAGGCCCCAUUCGACCCCUGCUACGACUGAUCACAUUACACUCUCUGUCAACACUUCUUCUGUUACUGCUUUUGUGCAUGGAGACAAAGGGGUGUAGAAGAACACAGUAUGAAUGCAGUGUUGAUGACAGUGUCUGUGUAUACCUGCUCUCUUUACUGUACUAAGCAAGCUAUUGGUAAAGAAACGGAUCUUGAAUAGCAUGCAGUUUUUCGUACACGUUUUGCUUUUAUCACCCGAUUUGUGUAAUACGGUCAUCGGAUGGUUAAUAAUAAGAACACAGCUGUUUAUUUUUGUAGUCAUUAAAAUACAUUUUCAUAAGCACUCCGAGAUCUUAAAGCAUCCACAAACAGGAAGCUGCUUUCGAGUGUUAUCUUUUAAUCAAGCUUCUAGAUUUACUGUAUUCUAAAGCUGAACAGAUAAGUCUUAGUAAUAGCACUCUUGGUACAUGCUAGAAAUCUACUGGGAACAAAUGUAAAGAUUCUGAGUCUAAACAUCUGUGUAUAUUUCAUUUGUUUUUACAUCAAGUCUGAUUUCAUUGGGUUUUGUGUAUUACUAUACCUGCUGGCUGCCAACAUGCUCAGACAAAAUCUCAGAAUUGAUUCAUUCACCUUACUACUUAUGUAAAUUGUAUAUAUUUGCAUAAAUACUUAUGCUGCCUUGUAGUAUUGCGAAACGUGAUAAUGACUUUGGGAGUCGUACCAGAAUAUAAUGUUUUCUGCUUGACAUUUUGAUUGUUUUGAUUGCUGUGGUCAACAAUUCAUAUAGACUUAUUAGGAAAAUUUAAAUCAAAUAUUUCAGUUAAAAAAGGAUGAUACACUGUGUAACUGGUCUGUAAAUAUGGACUUUAAGGAAUACAAUGAAAUAAUAUUUUUAAGUACACAAACAUUAAGGGAAAUUAUGUAUAAAUGAUAUAAUUACAAUAAUCUGGUCCAUUUUAAAGCAGGGAUUGUGUUAUAAGUGAAUACUGUUAAUCUUUGCUAAGUUGUUCAAAAUAUUUCAGUAUUUUGCCUUACUUUUCUAGUUUAUUUCCUGUAUUUACAGUUCUGUAGUAAAUUACCAUAUUGCUCCUUUCCUGUACUGCAGUUGCUAUAAAUGUGAUUAAAUCUAUAGAAUAAAUAAAUG